rnacentral:rRNA from 1 species
UACGGAGGGUGCAAGCGUUAUCCGGAUUCACUGGGUUUAAAGGGUGCGUAGGUGGGCAGGUAAGUCAGUGGUGAAAUCUCCGAGCUUAACUCGGAAACUGCCAUUGAUACUAUCUGUCUUGAAUACCGUGGAGGUCAGCGGAAUAUGUCAUGUAGCGGUGAAAUGCUUAGAUAUGACAUAGAACACCAAUUGCGAAGGCAGCUGGCUACACGAAUAUUGACACUGAGGCACGAAAGCGUGGGGAUCAAACAGG